ACUUGUACAGCCGCUAUGCCCUUCAAAACACUCGAGUAGGACUGAUCUGACAGCCGAAGAGGUGGUCGUGAUGCAUCCAGGAGGAGGAGGCGAGCAAGGCUGCACGGAUCAGGGACACCAGCGGGCGACCAACGACGGCGGCGCUCCGCCCCAUUCGCUGCCGCCACCGCCGUUCCCUACCGAGAUGCAUAAGCUUGAGCCCGCGGCGAGCCUUCCGGUCACGGCGCGGGGCCACUCGCCGCCGACCGGCAACGGAGGCUGCGACGAGGACGCGCCGCCAUUCCCCUCCACCGAGCUAGCCUUCGAGAAGAACCAAGGAGCCUCCCCGUCAACGUCCUCGCCGGAAUCCUGUCGUGGGUGCCCUACAGGUCACUCUGCCUCAAUUCUCUUUAUUAUAAAUGGUUUCACAUAGUGGAGUAACCUCUCUGCGUUUCUGCAUAGACAGAGAGGGUAAAGAAAUAUGGGUGGUGUUCAAAUGUUGGUAUAUCAGUCUAUGCAUAACAGGGUUAGGUAACUUGUCAUAUCUUCCUCUUCUUUUAUAAAUGGGAAACGAAUACUUUACUACAAAUGGUACAUAACAAAAAAAAAGAACCAUUCAAAUGAUAUGCUUGUAGGUAAGCUGGGAUAAUACCACACAAGGUAGCCGUUCAUUACUACUACUAAUCUUGCAGCUUCACUGUUCGUUUUGUUUAUUAAGCUGCCUUGACCAGUACCUUUGUUUAAGCUGCCCAUGGCCAAUUUCUGCUCCCUCCAAUCCAUAAGAACUGUCUGGGUUUAAGCUCAAAUUUGAACUAAACCCUGACAAUUAUUAUGGAUCGGAUGGAGUACUUGCUUUUUGAGAUUUUAGGUUGUAGUCCAACUAAAUCUAUUUGCUUGAAGCAUCUUAUAAUUUCGUUGACCAAAUUGUCACUUAAAGAAUCUUCUUGUUGAUUAUCUUAGCAUAGUAGCAUUCCAAGGCUGCAUUGAAUUCCUGAUUUGCAGAUUGAGCUCUUUUAUUUUUACUUAGUGAUUGUUUUCUAGAGGGUAAAGAAAUAUGAGUGGUGGUCAAUUGUUGGUAUCAGUCUAUGCAUAACAGGGUUAGAGAACUUAGGGAUCAUUUCUUUCUCUUCUUUUGUAAAUGGGAAAUGACUUUUACUAUACUAUAAAAGGUAGAGAACAAAAAAAACAGUCAAAUGUUAUGCUUGUAAGUAAUACCACACAAGGUUGCCGCUCAUUUCUAGUUGUAAUAAUCGUGCAGCUCCAUUGUUCCUUUUGUUUAUUAAGCUGCCAUGGCCAGUACCUUUGUUUAAGCUGUCCAUUGCCAAUAUUUGCUACUCCCUCCGAUCCAACUGUUGGGGUUUUAGCUUAAAUUUGAACUAAGCUCCUACACUUGUUAUUGAUCGGAGGGAGUACUUGAUGUCUCACUAGUUCUUUUUAAAAUCUAAGUUGUAGUUCAACUAAAUCUAUUUUCUUCAAGCAUCUUACAGUUUCGUUGACAAAAUUGUCACUUACAGAAUCUUCUUGUUCAUUAUCUUAGCAUAGUAGCAUUCCAAGGCUGCAUUCAGGUUCCUAAUUUGCAGAUUGAUUUUUUUUUUUCCUUUUUUUCCUUAGUGAUUGCUUUCUAGAGGGUAAAGAAAUAUGAGUGGUGUUCAAUUGUUAGUAUCAGUCUAUGCAUAACAUGUUUAGACAACUUGUCAUUUCUUUCCUUUCUUUUAUGAAUGGGAAAUAUAUUUUACUUUACUAUAAACGGUGGAGAACAAAAAAAAAAGCCAAAUGAUAUGCUUGUAGGUAAGCUGGGGUAAUACCAGACAAGGUAGCUCGUUCAUUACUACUACCAAUCAUGCAGCUCGACUAUUCCUUUUGUUCAUUAAGCUGCCAUAUAGUACUACUGAUCAUGCUUUUGUUCAAUAAGCUGCCAUGGCCAGUACCUUUGUUCAAUAAGUUUUUUUGAGAUUCUAAGUUGUAGUCCAACUAAAUCUAUUUGCUUGAAGGAUCUUAUAAUUUUUUUUGACCAGACUGUCACUUACAAAAUCUUCUUUGUCCAUUAUUUUAGCAUAUUAGCAUUUCAAGGCUGCAUUGAGAUCCUAAUUUGCAGAUUGAGUUUUUUUUGUUCCUUAUGGAUUUUACUUUAUUAAAGAGUAGAGAACAAGUUAGGCAAGUUUUGUUGACUGCUUUAAAUCGGAUGGCCGAAUGCGCCUAGACAUACUACAUUUGGUAUGCUCACUGUGGUCAGAGAAUUGGGAUGAUACAAUUAUCCUCACGGCUGCUUCUGUUCUAAGUACUUUUUUUAACUUAUGGAUUUUUGUCUAUUAUUCUAGGAAGAUUUUGCUGGUCGGAAAUGAAUUGAAAUCUAUGAAGGUUCAUCUUACAGUAGAGAAAGUGGGUCGGAGCAAGGUUUGUGGAUUAUUUUAUCAGAUCUGUAUAUAUUUCAAUUUUACUUGGUCCAUGAGUUUGGUAGUGGUUUUUUUUUUCUUUCAGAUACUUAUUUCUCUUUGUACUGUUAAUCACUUUUCGCAUAUGAGAAAGAAGAAGUAUCUCAUUGACUCCGUACCAGGGUUAUAUAAAGAUGAGACACUUAUGGUGUUAGGUAGGCUGGAGGCACAUUUGCCCGCUGAUCACAACUUUGACAUCUCGGAAUAUGAAGUCGGCAUCCAGAAGUUCUACCUCACGAUAACAGCAGUGAUUGCAGAUUUCACGUGGUACUUUAUAUCAAGUGCUUCGAGCUAAUGGAUAUACAUGGCAUCACCAUGGUAAAAAUUGAGCUUUGUGUUUUUUUUUUCUAUUCAAAUUCUAGAACAAUGACUUAUGCCUAAAAAAUGCAUGAUAAGGUGUACAAUUUCCGUAAUUUCAAGGUACCUCUGUUAUCAUUAAAUCAACCAAAUAAACAUAGUCAAUGAAGUUGCAAUUGACCCUAAUGGAGAGGAGGCUAUGGAGAUUAUCAAUUCAACAGCCAAAUGAAUAAACUACCUUUCCUCUUUGAUGAUUUGCGAGAUCUUGUUAACUUGUUCAGGAGACCAUGAUCUAUCAUGUUCCAAAUUAAUGACAGAAGUCCUACGCGUCUUAGUCAUAUUACACCUCCUUUUGCCAAGCAUUUUCUUCUCGCGUCUUUGCUGCUGUAUGAGGUGUUUCACUGGGGCGAGAGUUAGCAUCCUCCUUAGUCCUUCCGUUGCCCCUCUUGUUCUUCUGUGGUAUGGGAGUUCAGAGAAGGAUCGUCAUUGUUGUCAACACCCAGGUUAUCUUCCUCACUGGAUGAAGUGUCAUUCUCUGAGUCUGCAGGAGUGUGAUCCCGACCCAUAAUUUCCCCUUCGGCGGAGUUGGCUGUUGGAUUGAUAAUUUCCACAGCCUCCUCUCCAUUAGGGUCAACUGCAACUUCAUUGACUAUGUUUCUUUGGUUGCUUUCAUGAUAAUAGAGGUACCUUGAAAUCUCCUUACAGAAAUUGUACACCAUAUCCUGCAUUUUUGAGACAUAAGUCAUUGUUCUAGAAUUUGAAUAGAAAAAAAAUUGAAAAGCACAAGGCUCAAUCUUUACCGUGGUGAUGCCAUUUAUAUCAAUCAGCUCGAAGCCUUUGAUAUAAAGCAGCACAUGAAAUCCGCAAUCACAGCUGUUAUCUUGAGGUAGAACUUUUGGACUAUUGACUUCAUAUUCUGAGAUGUCAAAGCUGUGUUCAGCAAACAAAUGUGCCUCCAGCCUACUAACACCAUAAGUGCCUCAUCUUUAUGUAACCCUGGUACGGAGUCAAUGAGAUACUUCUUUUUCCUCGUAUACGAAACGGCAACUAACGAAAAGUGAUUAGCAGUAGCAAGAGGAAUAAGUAUCUGAAAAAACCCACUGUCAAACACAUGGACCAAGUAAAAUUGAAAUAUAUACAGAUCUGAUAAAAUAAUCCACAGACCUUGCUCCGGCCCACUUUCUCUGUUGUGAGAUCAACCUUCACAGAUUUCAAUUCUUUUCCGACCAGCAAUUUUUCCUGGAAUAAUAGACAACAAUCAUAGUGAGCAUAGCAAAUGUACAAGAACGCAAAAAAAUCCAUAAGUUAAAAAAGUACUUACAAUAGAAGCUGCCGUGAGGAUAAUUGUAUCAUCCCAAUUCUUUGACCAUAGUGAGCAUACCAAAUGUAGUAUGUCUGAGCACAUUCGGCCAUCCGGUUUGAAGCAGUCAACAAAACUUGCCUGAUCUAUCUUAUCCGGACCAAACUUCAAAACAAUUUGGUCUCGGGUUCUCUGUAGAAUAUAUACUACUAAUGAUCUAACAAGUCACGCCCCGCUGCAAAUGCGCUGUAGCAGCUCUAAUGCCAGUCAAUCAAUCAACUGGAAAGAUAAUUUGUAAAUUUGAGUCAUAAAUAUAAGAAACACUCAACACAAACACUGCUAGUAAAUCGUCUAAGAAAGCUUAUUCACACAUUGGAAGCUUUUACACACCAAAUCUAAAUUAAAUAUACACAUCGCAGUGCUCUGCAUUCUCUGCAUUCUCUCCUAUUUUAGAAAGCAAAAGCUCUUAUACAAAGUCUUAUCUGACAUGGAAUUCGACCAAAUUCCUCGUUAAAAAUAUUACGACUGCACAUUAAGUUGAAAAGAUUAAUUAGAGAUGCUUUGAACUUACAUCCAAACUCUAUCGGCUUCGGUCUCAUCGGCUGAAAAGGAUAUUUAAAAAAUAAGAACUUGUAUCAAGAAUUUGGUGCAAUCAUAGUUAUAAUGGGAUAAGAACUUGUCAUAAUUAUAAUGACAUUAAAAAAUAAGAACUUGUUUCUUAUCCCAGUCCUUUUUGCUUCCUUAUCUUCGAACAGUUCCUUGAACAUGUUAUCAUUAUAAAGGAAUAUUCUACCUGGUCCUUGCUCUCUUGCCAAAGGAUUCCCCUUAGUACAGUCCGCCAAAACCACUUGUGAACCAAUGAUUAUAAUGUUAGAUACUUUCCUAGCGAAAAUGAGGAACCUUAUUGCUUGCAAAAGCAACUUACCAAACACAGUCCCACAGCAAGUCAUAGUUUGUUUCUCCCCGCAAUUUUUCUUUAUCGCCUCAAAGACUAGAUGUGGCCAGUCAAGGCUACCCAUUUUUUCGAGAUUAUGUACAAUAGCACAUGAGAUCCUGGAUAAAAAAUGUUGCGAUUAUGGCAAUAGCAUUCAUUCUACCACCAUCUCAAGGUACAACCUGACAAGCAUGUUGUUUUAGCAAGUGGAAUGACGUCUUGUUCAUCACAAUGAUCAAAUAAAAGACAAAUGUUGGCAGGCUUGAACAAUUGUCUUGCAAUAGCAUAUGCCGGUAUGGGAUCUUCAGCACUGGGCGCUCCUUUGCAUUUGUGUUUUAUCAUUACAAACUUGAUUGCCUUGUACAUUGUGUCAUACUGUUCUAGUGAUUCUACACUCAUAGUUGGGCACUCCUUCUCAGCAAAUAUUUAUCCCAGUUGCUAAAUCCUCAACAAUUACGAUUUGUAUUCUUGGCUCCCUGGUGACAUCGACCAUCGGCUCUCCGGCGUCGUCGAUCACACUGUUCGGUUGUUUUUCCUUGGCAUAUUGGUGUUGAUACUUUUGUCGAUGGUGAUUGACUAUUUCAAUAUCUAUGUGCGUGCACACAACCUAGCAUUGUGACUUAAAUAACUACUAUAUUAUUUGGGAACUGACAUCGUUUUUGUAAGAGUUUUGAAUUUUUUUGGAGGUUAACCUGAAGCUGACACGUGUAUAACUUUGUGAUUUGUGUGCACUUUCAAUGUCCUCUAGGAAUUUUCUUGGUCCUUUUGCGUUGGUUUGAGGUGGGCUUCCUUUUAACCUAGGUGCACCUAGCGUUUUUUAGGGAACCGCUUUGACCAAUAUUUGGUUUGCCCCACCGCCUCCUCGAUUUCCUCCCCGGGCUCCCUCUCUCCCCAUUAUCUCCACCGCAUCCUUGCCCAGGGCUGCCGCCCUCCUCCCUGUCACUGGCCACGUCCGACGGCGUCGACUCAUCCUCUUCCGUUUUCACACUACCGAGGUGCUCGGCCGGACCCCUAGGCGCGCGCCCGCGGCACCCUAGCCUUAUGAGGAGGAUGAGCCUCUUCGCGCGAUGAGGCCCGUCAUUAGAGGUUCCGCCAGCUAAAUCCGACAAGGGCCAGCCACACCGCCUCCUCCUCUCCCCGCUCCGCUCCGGAUCUUCCCAUCCAUUCCGGCGAGCCCUCGCCGCGUAGCUUCCACGCGACCCUUCCUUCUCCCCGAUAUGUCCAACCUCCCGGCCGACGUUCCUGCAAAACCCCCCAAUACUACUAUCCGAUUAUUUCCUCCCCCAACCGCGCCGUCUCCCGAGCCCAACAAACCCUAGGCGCCGCCCAUGAACUUCGGUAACAGGCGCGUUCACAACCGGCUGGGUCCGGUGCCAGGCGCCGCCUCUUCCUCUUCUUCUUAUGGGAAGGUCUGCCACCAUUGGCGCGCUGGGCGAUGCAAUCGCUUCCCCUGCCCCUUCCUCCACAGCGAUCUACCCGAGGCCACCGCCAACUCCAGUCGCCCGAACCAAACGGAUGACCCCGGCGCCGGCGGGCACGUCUGGCGCACCCCCAACUCUGGAGGAGGAGGAGGCGGGCGCGGUGGCAGUGGCUCUAAUAGGUGGGGGAGAGGUCCCGGCGGCGCAGACGUGGCCGCGAGGAACAGGGUGCAGGACCGGCCCUGCAAGUACUUCCUCGCCGGAGAACACUGCAGCUACGGCGAGAGGUGCCGCUACCCGCACAAAUACUGCAUGAGCAAUAGCAUCGCGCUGCUAACCCCGCUCCAGGGCCACGAGCAGGUCGUAACAGGGAUCACACUGCCUAAUGGAUCAGAUAAGCUGUAUUCUUGGAGUAGGGAUGGAACUGUGUGCCUUUGGGAUUGCAAAACUGGGCAGGUAGCUGAGGCAUCAUUGAAUUGCAUCCUUCCAAGGACUCCGUCUUCUCUAUGACUAUUUUCAGUACCUUUAUUUUUCUAUGUGCCAGACGAUAAGUUUUGAGAGAUAGGAAAUUUGUGGCGACGGCCACCCAUCGCUCAGGCUGCUCAAGCAUGCCCUGUUUUUUAUGGCCGUGGCCCUAACAUCUGUACAAAUUCUACGCUAUGAUCAGUAUACCUCACUUUGAAAUACAAUGCGCACAUUUUUUGGUCUUAUGUUGAACUGUCAAUUUUGCAGAUACAGGUUGUGUUAUACAUAUGUUAUUUCAGAGUUUUAUUUGACAGGUUUUGAGAUCUUGCCUCAUCUUUUUGUAAGCAUGAAGGGCUAAAGUAUUUUAGAGCUUUAUGUGCUCUACCUUCUUGCAUUUCGUGUCAAUAUCACUAUUUCAAGUCAUCAUUCCUUUAUGAUCAUAAGAAAGUUCUCCAGCUCAGUUAAUCUAGCUCUCUUUGUCAACACCUACCAAUCCCCCUUUCAGGCUCUCUUUCCCUACAAUUUUCUGUGUCGACAACCAUGUUCUCCUCUUCUCCGAUUAAAGGGAUACUUUCAGCCUAGACUCGCCUACAAAUCAGGUAAAUUUUCUGGCCUCUUCACCUUUAAAAUUUACUUUCUUUUCUUUCUUACUCCAUUGGUUGUUCAGAUUUGAAUCUAAAUGGGACUUCGUGCUAUGGAUCCUUCUACCGCUUAUAAAUUUUUCCUCAUAUUACCUUUUUGAGUUGAGUGGUUAUCUUUCAGAUGGUAAGUCAUGCUAAGGAUAGCAAGAGCUUGGAUCCAAUAACUCUUAGCCUUUUUUGGUCUAUACUUACUGCUCUGGGUAUUGGACUAAUAUUUAAGAAAUCUUCUGAUAUGUUGAAUUAAUAGUUAUCCACUUUCUUCUGAAAUAAGACAAUAUUUCUUUCAAACCAUCUGCUUUGUCUUAUACUUCCUUAAUUUGGCAAGAAAGUGUAUUUUCAUCUCAAAUUCCGCAGCCAGGAAUUUUUUUAUUUCAGAUCAUCGGCUUUGUCUUAACUUUCCUUAAUGUCAGGAAAGUGAAUAUAUACUUGUUUCAGAACUUUUCACUGAUUUGACUAUUCAACCUUGGACAUUUUGUGUCACUCCAAAAGAAGAUUCCCAUAUGCCUGUACACCACUAAAUGUUUGGCAUAUAUAAUUCAAUGUACACAUUUUACAAUUUGCACUACAAUGAAAUGCGUGUUUCUUAUACGUAGAAUCGGAUAGAUGAAUUGUUAGGACAUUUGGUUGUUUGAUGCUCCCAAAAAUUGAUUUAUUCUCUUAACAUGUAGUAGCAUAGUACUCUUCAGAAAAUAUAACCGCAGAUACUCUUUUAUUCGAUCAACCAUGGAGGUUGAAAGCACAUAUUUUCAUGUGUAAGCAUGGACAUUCAGUGCAUUAUCGUUGCUAGGUUGGUCAAACUUUCAGUAUCCAACGAACAUACUUUUUCGAGUAGACUGGCAAUGGGUCCUUAGUAUGUAUGCUCACAUGAAUGUUUUGCUCUUUUCUUUUUUUUAUCUAUUAUACGUAGUGCAUACAAUAUUUAACUGUAUGUAAAAAAGGAUUUGAGUGCGUACCUUCUAAAUUUCUUUGAAAGUGGUCGCUGCUUUAAAGAGUUAUUUGGUACUUUUGGGUUCCUACCUUGAUGUCUUCCUAUUUUAUCAUCUUUGUUCAAUACUUAAGGCCUAGGUCUGUACUUUUGGUUGCAGUUAAGGUUGGAUAAUUAAAUAUGCAAUAGACAUGUUAGACAUUUCAUAUAUUGUCCAUUUCUUGUGUCCCUGCACCCCCAUCCUACAUGCUUCUGUGGUUUACAUUUUUCUUUUUCCCUUCACACUUGCUUGCUUUGUCGUGCUUUGUCGCACACAGCCACUGGAGGCUCUCGAAGAUGUGGUGUUCUAUCAAUCAAGGGCCAACCGAGUUGAGGACGUUACUUGAUAGGCUCUAAAUCCAGAGCUUUUUUCAGUCAUUUAAGCAUAAGUCUUAGAAUGACUUGAGUAUCUCGAUGCAAAAUUCAAUCUACAUUUCCCUGUUGGUUGACCUAUUCAAUAUAGUUUGAUAAAAUUAUGCAUACUAAGUAUCUCAUGUAGUCAUUUAGAAGUAUCUUAGCCAAUGCAUUCAACAUACUCCCUCCGUCCAUAAAUAGAUGCCAAAGAUUUGUUUAAAUUCGGAUGUAUCUAUACACUAAAUCAUGGCUAGAUACAUUCAAAUUUAGACAAACUUUUGGCAUCUAUACACUAAAUCAUGGCUAAAUCAUGGCUAAAUCAUGGCUAGAUAUAUUUUUUCCCAUGUAACAUGCUACCAUUUCUAAGCCAAUUGUUACCUCAGAUGUUUACUUCCUUUUUUUAAGCAUGUGCCCUUAUAAUGGUUUACUGAAUACUCUUUUCUUGAGGAUACAGGGCAAGUUGCAUGCUUCUAAAACGUGCAAGACAUCUGAAUUUUAGCAUAGGAAGUUGUCUUUUUUGUUACUUACCAAAGGAUGUAUUAUUGAUUUCUUACAAUUCAAUAUUUGUAAGUUCUAUAUUUUUUCAUCUAUAAAUAUAUGCAUCUUUAUGACCUCUAAAGUGGUUUCAAAAAACACAUUCUUACUAAGUCUGGGUUGCCUCCUUGCUUAGAAUAGAGGAGUUCAGGUCGAAGAUCAAAGAAAAUGCACAUAUCAGGUGUGCCACCGAGGAGUCAUUUUAAUCGGAACUCAACAUCGAAACCAUUCGAGCCAUCUAUGCUAGCCUAGGCAUGGAAAUCAUCCUCCUUUCCCGUGACAAAGAAGAUGUGACUUUGGGGCACAUCCCUUAUCCUGAUAGUAAGUUGACAAGCAUCCUCCAGUCUGUACUUGGAGGCAACGCGAAGACAUCAUUCAUAUGCACUGCUGCACCUAAAGAGAUUCAUAUGGAGGAAACUAGAGGAACUGUUCAGUCUACAAGUAGAACAAGAUGUGUCAGCGAUCGUACCCAAGUAUCAAAACUUCUAUGUUGUAAUAUGAGUUUGAACUUCUUAUAAGUAUGUCUUCCACAGUUAGUUUUCACCACGUUAAUUUUGAUAGCAGCAAUACGGUAAUAUACAUCUGUACUUUUGUGUAUUUAACUUGUUCUAUUGUUUUCAUUUGUUAUUAUUUCUUACAUGUGAAAUGUAUUUGGUAGAAAUUGCUAAUAUACGGCAAUGGUCUGGUUCUCAUCAAAACACUUGCAUCUUCAGCAUAAGAAUCAAUUAUUGAGUCAGUUUAUCAGCAUGGUUUAUAAGUAGUUAUAUUCUGAGAACCUAACAAUGGGUGUUGGUAUAUCAGAUUCGAACAAUGGCUGUUCAUAUGUCAGAUUCAACAUAAGAACUAAUUAUUGAGUCAGUUUAUCAGCAUGGUGUAUAAGUAGUGAUAUUCCGAGAAUCUAACAAUGGGUGUUGGUAUAUCAGAUUCUAACAGAUGCUGGUAUGUUGAAGAGGCAUAAACUGGAAAUAGAAAAACUUCGUCAAAAGCUGCAGGUGAUGCACUCAUCCAGUUCAAAGUGAGCCAAAAGAAUUGCCAUGUAUCAAUCUUGGAGCCAAGGAAUUCGGGGCUCCAAUUGAAAGAAUUUUUGGGGCUGCGGCCUCUAAAUAGGUAUUAAUAUGUCCUGAACUAAUAGUAUUUCUACUCAGAUUUUUUCAGUCAUGGGUAAAUACUGUUUACAUUUGAAUGCAGUAAAAGAGUUAUAAAUUUAGCAUCCUGCCUGAACUAAUAAAAAUGCUGCAAAAUUUGUGUUAUUUGCUAAAGAGGGUGCAAAAAAAGGAGGCCUAGCAAAUCACCAGGUCUAAGCUACAAGAUUACAGAAGAAGAACCAAGGAAGAAGAGGAUCACGCUACGAUCAGCCUGAGCCAAUUGGGUGAAAACCAAGAAGGCCACCGCGCCGAAGAAUGCCAUCUUCAUUGUUGGCGUGCAUCCGACAAAUGAGACAUCAGUCCUUCCAGAUCCCGACACCUCAGUCAAGGAAGGAUUUCACCGGCUUUUUAUCCAAUGAUGAAGACUACUAGGAACACUGGGGCUGACGAUUAUCGGGGCACAAGAGAAGUAUUAGGACAACUGUCCUAGCGUGUUAACCUGCUUUACACUUCUAUGCUUUAGUAAUAGAUGUCUGUUCUGUUCCAGGUUUGAGUAAAUCCAUGGCUUGCAGUAAACUGAUGUCUCCCUAUACUAUUGUGGUGAACCAAUCAGAUCUGAAUAUGUAUUUGUACUGCUACUUAUGCAUCUGUCUAUUUGGUGUCUGUGUUCUCUUUGAUAAA